GGAGGUUUGAUUAUUGGAGGAAACCCUAGUGCUGAAAGACAGGUGUGAGCUUGCACGUUGGGAAUUGAAAUGUCACGCAGUCAUGUCAUCUUUUUGUUAGCAGAGCUGCCGUAAUUAUGCUCUUUGCCUUCACUUCAUACCCUGUGAGGACGGCUGCAGCCAGGACAAUUUUCUUCACGCCUAGGUAGAACUGAAAGCAUGUUUGCAGCCAGCUAUAGUGGCUCAGGUGCCUGACACCAGCUCCUUCAAAGAAGAUCACUGCAUAUGCUGUUGGGGCGGUUUGAAAUCCUAAGAAGCACGAAGAGCUUGUUCAAAGCUACAGCUCCACCUAAACAAGAAUGGUUGCAGUAAUACAAUUCCUAAUGCGGACGCUGUUAACAGAAGAGUUGUAAACCAAAACCAGGAUUCUUUGCAUCGUCACAGCAGCUGUUCAGGCAUACUGUAUUCCCUCAGCAUCCACACAGAAAACUUGAGGUGAUAACUACCAUGGAUUUGUGAUGCUGCCAGCAGAAAACAGCUUAGAUUCCAUUAUCUGUCUCUGCCAGCCUGCAGUAACUUGGAUGUCUGCAAACUUGAAUGUAUUUGAGUUGCUGCUGUGGCCUGAAAUGGUGACUCAUUCUCCAUUUUGUGAUUUUUGGGGAAUUUCCACACAGCUGAAAAAGGUGCACUGGUGAAAACCCCACCUUCAAUUGCAUGAGCCACUGAUGGAAAUGAGUGAAGGGCUUACAUUGUAUGCAUGCACAACUCUUCUCCAUUCCCAGACUCAAUCUGUUAAGUCAAACAUUGUAUGACUUGUCAAGUCACUAAACUGCUAAUCACUGGCUUGUUACCAUCUGUUUCCUCUCAAUGUAGGUUACAUUUUUAUUUGGAGUAGUUUUUCCUGGUUGUCUGUUUAUACCUUUAAGAGCAGGCUUAUGAUGAAUCAAAAUAAACUGCUUUUAAAAUGCAUUAAAAAUAGGUUGCACCAGUUUAAUUAAGUUUACAAGUCUGCUGAAAUUAAACCAGUAUGUAUUUCAUAAGUGGCCAGUGACAGUACUGAAAGCCCAAAGGUGUGGUCAGGAUGUAUAAACAGGAGACAGUGCAGUUAAGUGACUGUGAAAGCACAGUAGUGCUUAUGAGAAACAGUGGUAAGUGUCCACAGGAGAUCUAUGCAUCAAAAAUUUGCUUAGCAAGUGAGUAUUGUUUUUAUGGAAUGAUACAACUGAAUUAAAGUUGGACUUUAAACAAGUUUCUACCUGGAAAUUUAAUUAAAAUGUACUAGUAGACUAUGACUCAAUUUGCUAUUGCACAAAAAUACAGAAUAUUCAUUUUCGUUGAAAAAAAAAAAUCAGAAGCCAUCCACUAUUACUUUAAGAGUUGCACAUUUUAUUAACUUCAGAGAAGACUCCAUGCUUCCUUCACUUAAAUACCCUGAUUCUGGACUUGAUUUGCAUACCACUAUCCCCAGUAUUUUUCUAAUGAAGAGGUAGACAUACAAUUCUGCAACUAGUCCUGUAGGCAAAAAAAGUUUUUGUAUACAUUUUUCUAACACUAUAGCAUUAAACUGGGCGUCUCCAUUAAAAAAACACACACAGAAGAAAAUUGUAUUGCUUUGUGACUUCAGAAGAUAAGAAGUAAUCUUCACACCAGAGGGAGAAAAUGGGAAGUCAUGAUUUACACAACAGAUUUCAAAACUUAAAAAGUUGCCUACUUUUAAUUACAGUUUUAGAGUACACUUGUGGGUGGGUAAUCUGUAAAACAUUAAUUGCUAUUUCUUCCCACUCACCUCUUCUUAAUUGAGCCAUUUUAUAUCUAUAAACACACAGAAUAAGGAAAUAUAAAAGAAUAAUUUAAUAAAACAUGAUAUGUACUGAUUCAUAUUGGACUCCUUUCAAGUCAAGAAGUUAUGACAUAUGUAAGAAUGUAUAUAAACUUGUUGCUGAAGCUGCCUUUGGGCUUGUGCUUCUGUGUAGGGAAUGAGACUUGGUAAAACACAGAAUCUUGGUGAACUUUUAUAUUCAUUCCUUUAUUAUAAAAAUCUUUUUCAAA